CAGUAGCCACGGUAAUACGUAGGGUGCAAGCGUUAAUCGGAAUUACUGGGCGUAAAGCGUGCGCAGGCGGUUAUAUAAGACAGAUGUGAAAUCCCCGGGCUCAACCUGGGAACUGCAUUUGUGACUGUAUAGCUAGAGUACGGCAGAGGGGGAUGGAAUUCCGCGUGUAGCAGUGAAAUGCGUAGAUAUGCGGAGGAACACCGAUGGCGAAGGCAAUCCCCUGGGCCUGUACUGACGCUCAUGCACGAAAGCGUGGGGAGAAAACAGGAUUAGAUACCCGCGUAGUCCCUGUCUCUUAUAA
rnacentral:rRNA from 1 species